rnacentral:rRNA from 1 species
GCGGGAAAUCUUACCGGGUCCGGACACACUGAGGAUUGACAGAUAUACGCUCAUGCGUGCUUCGGCGCGCUGGGCUGAAAGAUGCUAGUUCUUUCAUGAUUAUGUGAUAGGUGGUGCAUGGCCGUUCUUAGUUCGUGGAGUGAUCUGUCUGCUUAAUUGCGUAUCAAUAAUAGAGACCUAGUAUACGCGUGGAUUUCGCGUGGUAGUGACCCCCUGUUUAACGACAGGCGUGUGUCGCACACGCGUACCUACGCACUGGUCUCAGAUAGCAACGAACGUGACCGUAUUCUAUUGUUGCAGUGAAAUGUGCCUUCGCGU